GAAAACUGUUUUAAGGCGAAUUAAUUAGUGAUUUCAAUAUUUUUUGAACUAAAUUGAGGUGAAUUAAUAAUAAAAUCAAAUCAAAUUAAAUAAAAGGAACUCAGUUAUUUGGAUAUACAAAAUCAAAUCUACAAAUGGACGGGAAUGAGUUGUGGGUAGGUGGGCAGGUACAGCAGAAAGAGGAAGGGAUAAGGGAGGCAGCAGAAGGAGCUGAAUACUGACUGUCCACGAGAACAGUUUGAGGAGGAGAAUAAUGGGUAGUUUUAUGGGGUUAGGUAAAGAUUGGUUUCAAUGAUACAAAUUCGUGUUUC
rnacentral:misc_RNA from 1 species